rnacentral:rRNA from 1 species
CGUAGGGUGCAAGCGUUGUCCGGAAUUAUUGGGCGUAAAGAGCUCGUAGGCGGUUUGUCGCGUCUGCUGUGAAAACUCGGGGCUUAACCCCGGGCCUGCAGUGGGUACGGGCAGACUAGAGUGCGGUAGGGGAGACUGGAAUUCCUGGUGUAGCGGUGAAAUGCGCAGAUAUCAGGAGGAACACCGGUGGCGAAGGCGGGUCUCUGGGCCGUAACUGACGCUGAGGAGCGAAAGCGUGGGGAGCGAACAGGAUUAGAUACCCUGGUAGUCCACGCCGUAAACGUUGGGCGCUAGGUGUGGGGCUCUUUCCACGAGUUCCGUGCCGCAGCAAACGCAUUAAGCGCCCCGCCUGGGGAGUACGGCCGCAAGGCUA